rnacentral:rRNA from 1 species
AUUGAACGCUGGCGGCAGGCUUAACACAUGCAAGUCGAACGGUAACAGGAGAGAGCUUGCUUUCUUGCUGACGAGUGGCGGACGGGUGAGUAAUGCUUGGGAAUCUGGCUUAUGGAGGGGGAUAACGACGGGAAACUGUCGCUAAUACCGCGUAGAGUCGAGAGACGAAAGUGCGGGACCGCAAGGCCGCAUGCCAUAGGAUGAGCCCAAGUGGGAUUAGGUAGUUGGUGGGGUAAUGGCCUACCAAGCCGACGAUCUCUAGCUGGUCUGAGAGGAUGACCAGCCACACCGGGACUGAGACACGGCCCGGACUCCUACGGGAGGCAGCAGUGGGGAAUAUUGCGCAAUGGGGGCAACCCUGACGCAGCCAUGCCGCGUGAAUGAAGAAGGCCUUCGGGUUGUAAAGUUCUUUCGGUGACGAGGAAGGCGUGAUGUUUAAUAGGCAUCACGAUUGACGUUAAUCACAGAAGAAGCACCGGCUAACUCCGUGCCGGCAGCCGCGGUAAUACGGAGGGUGCGAGCGUUAAUCGGAAUAACUGGGCGUAAAGGGCACGCAGGCGGCUAUUUAAGUGAGGUGUGAAAUCCCCGGGCUUAACCUGGGAAUUGCAUUUCAGACUGGGUAGCUAGAGUACUUUAGGGAGGGGUAGAAUUCCACGUGUAGCGGUGAAAUGCGUAGAGAUGUGGAGGAAUACCGAAGGCGAAGGCAGCCCCUUGGGAAUGUACUGACGCUCAUGUGCGAAAGCGUGGGGAGCAAACAGG